rnacentral:misc_RNA from 1 species
AGCAGUCUAAUUAACAGAUGAAUGACAAAACCUUUCUACUGCUUCUCUUAAUUCCAACAACUAAAAUGAUAAUACAAAAUUUACAAUGCCUCUAAAUCACAUAUUAAUUUGCAACUAAAAGUUUCACAUGUUCAUCUGCAUUCCAAGUUAUAAGAUUCACACAUAAGAAAUAAUUUAGCGUCUCUCACAGUCUAGAGGGUAGAGUAAUAAUUUUUGCACUUCAUGCUAUAGUUCUGAGGAAAUUAACAUAUAUGCCCUCAUAUGUGAAGAGGUAAAAAGAUCCUAUCAAACCUUAUUUGUUAUAGGACCCUGUGCAAGAUAAGGUUUUUCAUUACGUAAAUGGUGGAAGCCAUAAGCUAUUUGAGCAUCCAUUCCUAUGCUAAAGUAAUUAUAAAAGACUCCUUCAUAGCAAUUUGCUUUCUCAGGCAACUUCCCCUCAACUUCCAAACCCUGAUCAAGAGAACACUCUUCCGUAGGUUUCAGAGAAUGGGGUGUAUCCACAACGAAUCCAUCUGGCAUCGACACUAGAAGAUGCCAACUAUCUAGACGGUAAAUUGGACCAGUAAUAGCUCUGUAAAGAGAUCUUUUGACAGCUGAUUUCCAAGCAAAGGGAAACGAGCCUCCCCAACCAAAACUCCUCGCCAGAUCAUUGCCUGUACCUAGAGGAAUGAUUCCUACAGGAGGAACUGGCUCCCUCCCCUGUCUGUUAAGUGAUGCAAGACUCCCCAGUAUCCAACCAACUGUACCAUCACCUCCUGCAACCAUAAUUCUCAUCUUUUCUCGAGUAUCUCUGGCACAAAAAUCACCAAGGGCAGCCAACUUCUCUAGGCAGACUAACCCAUAUUCAACAAAUUCAUGAGGCUUCACAUCUGAGAGAUCAAAGACCUGUUCUUCACCCAUUAACUGCUGAAGCCGUCCCUUGAGUUCAGGUCCAUGGCGGCCGCCACUCCUAGAAUUGACGAAAACCGCCAUAGGACCCUCAGGAGCCUCCUCACGGUUGUCAACUUUACUGGUAUUGAAGUAACGCUCGGCUUCGCUGGUAGGGUCCCUGGACCUGAUGGCAUCGCGAAUAGCGUGACGCAGAUAAUGCGGAAUCAGCAGCUUCCUCUUCAAGCUCUCCUUAUCAAUUCGUACCCCCGACAAACCGCAGCCACGGAUAGACUCAAUCAUAGACGAUCGUGCAGGCACGAUCCGAGCCGACGAUCCCCCGUUCGACGUCGGCGAGUCCAUUUCCGAUACUACCUCUCAGUCUCUACCAAGCCAAGGGCGGUAAUGGCUUUGGUUGUGUUUGAGUUGGAACUGAAGACUCUUUCGAUUUUUUGUGGAGAGAGAAGAAUUAAAUGGUUGGUUC